UACGUAGGUGGCAAGCGUUGUCCGGAUUUAUUGGGUUUAAAGGGUGCGUAGGCGGCCCUGUAAGUCAGUGCUGAAAUAUCCCAGCUUAACUGGGAGGGUGGCAUUGAUACUGCGGGGCUAGGGUACAGAUGAGGUAGGCGGAAUUGACGGUGUAGCGGUGAAAUGCUUAGAUAUCGUCAAGAACACCUAUAGCGAAGGCAGCUUACUAGGCUGUAACUGACGCUGAGGCACGAAAGUGUGGGGAUCAAACAGG
rnacentral:rRNA from 1 species